UGGCGUACGGGUGAGUAACACGUGGAUGAUCUACCUCUUAGUGGGGAAUAACUCUGGGAAACCGGAGCUAAUACCGCAUAAGCCUGGAAAGGGAAAGCGUUGUCGUAAAAAACGACGCGCUGAGAGAGGAGUCCGCGGCCGAUUAGCUAGUUGGCAGGGUAAAAGCCUACCAAGGCAACGAUCGGUAGCCGGCCUGAGAGGGCACACGGCCACACUGGCACUGAAACACGGGCCAG
rnacentral:rRNA from 1 species